GAGCAGCCCAUCAGCACGUUGCACUGAUUGUAUUCCUGAAGCUCUUCGCCCUUCGUGCUCGGCUGUGCUGCAGUUACUGUAUGUUCUCACCCAGAUCAUCUGUCGGAGUUCAGCUGCACGUCAGGGAUCUGCAAGCUUCAGUGAUGUUGUAAGAUCCUGAGGUUAAGAACUGUCUUGCUGAUCAGUGCACUUAAUGGAUGUCCUGUUGGCUUUGCCUAGUGCACGUUCCUGUCUGAAACGUUGUCUGGUUGAGGCAUAAGUUUGUCAGCUGCAGACACAUCAGCAGAGUGUGGUUCCUGCAGCAGAAAUAAAAAGAAAGGUCUACAGUGAGACUGAAUUCUCUUGCCAACUUGAGAUGGGUCAGAAGAAAGCUGUGUAAGCCACAUGUAUGAGAUGGGCUUGGAAGAGCUUUUUUCUGACUUCCAGAACAUGCCUGGGGCUUUCAAACAGACACUGUGUCAAGGGUACACUGGAAGAUAUGUCCUCCAAAUUGAUCAGCUCUGAGUCAAGGCAGCCAUGUGAAGUGGAAAUGUUUCUCUUGCUGCGUCCCAGGAGAGCAGUGGCACUUGAGGGAUGGGCUGCUGGAGCUUUGAAAGAGUGCUUUGCUCAGCUGGAACUUUGGAACCCACUACCAGAUGAUGAAUAAGGAUGACAAAUAAUUUUGAGCAGGUCCUGAGCUCAUCAUGACAAAAACUGAGGGCAGAGCUGAGAAUUGUAAUUAUUUUAGGAAUUUGCACAGAAAUGUGAACUUCCAUUAGCUUCGUAUGUGUUGCUUAUGACUUUACUCAGCACGAAGUGAAACACAUGUUCCAGGAGAUAGAGGGCUUGAGUUCAGUGCAUUCAGCAGCAACAUUGGUUUCUGGUCCUUAAACCAUGAUGAAUAUAUCAGUACAUAAAGCUGAAAUCGUGAACAGGUGCAUUUUUGCUCAUUCCUAAUUUGGGAAUGUACCUUAAAGUUAAUUGGGUGGAUUAGAAUAUGGAUUAAAACAACAGCAAUUACAGCACUGUUGCCAAAAACAGUAUCUGGGUUUUGAGUGAUAAACUGCAGAAAUGAUAAAUGACUUGGAGCUGUGGCAUCUUAAGGAGAAGGAAUAUUGGCACACUCUCAAUCCAGCUCAAAGCUGAAGUUCCAGUCAUGCAAACCUGUCUAGGAUGAUCUGUGCUCUGCUGUCACAAUGGAGGGGAAUGGCAUCUGUUGUUACUGCAAAGAUUACAUCAGCUUUCCAUCAAAAUGGAUAUGUAAAUGCUUUCAUUCUCUCAAAACUUUUCUGUUGCAGCUGACCUACCAUCUCAAUUUACAAUAAAAUCAUUUUGUAGAAUAAAUUGCA
rnacentral:lncRNA from 1 species